UCUACAACACUCCUCACUUAGGACCACUGAUUCCGUCACCGUCGCCAUGACUGUGGAUGUGUUGGUCAAGGCGGCCGCCGGGAGGCCGACGCGCUCGGCGACUGUGAGUACUCUGUCGUCCACCUCACUUUAGUGCUCUCGUUCGUUCGGCGCGGAGCCCUAACUGUUUCGGCGGCCAUGUCCACAUCCCUUCGCCCAUAGGCCAUAGGGUGCUGCUUACGCUGGAGGCGAAGGAGGUGUCGUACAAGAUGAUGCUCGUCGACCUCAGUAACAAGCCCGAGUGGGCCCCUACAUCAAUGGGGAGUACGUGUCGGCUGCAGAUCUCAGCCUGGGACUGAAGCUCUUCCAUCUCCAGGUUGCUCUGGAGCAUUUCAAAGGCUGGAAGAUCCCUGAAACCCUGACCAGCGUCCAUGCCUACACCGAGGUACACCAGAUGUUUACUGAAUUAGGCAGAAUGGUUGAUUACCAAAACUUCUGCCAUUUCCAGAACUUGUUCAUAGCUGUUAAGUUACUAAGCUUUGCGUUGUGUUUGUUUGUGCAGGCUCUCUUCACCAAGGAGUCUUUUGUGAAGACAAAGCCAGCCAGAGAGCACCUGAUCGCUGGGUGGGCGCCAAAGGUGAACCCGUAAGCUCUCACUGUUCGAAAGACCACCCGUUUGUGUCCGUUUGGGCCUUGUCAGCAGUGGUGAUGGCCAGUAGGCCUACUAUCUAGCUUGAUCGCGUGAUCUGGGUUGGAAUAAUGCGAAGCCUUACUGAUAUCAGUCGAUUGAAUUAGCUGCAAUGCAUGGAAGGGGAAGUCCAAUUAAGAGAGAUGCAGUCCAGGGUGGAUAAGGCCAACAAGGACAUACAAGAAGAGAUGGCACAUAGAUAUGCCGCAGAGGAGGCAAGCGCCCGUGCUAAGGAUCUUGUAAGAGCGGAGGUUAUGUAGAAAAAUAAGCUGCUGGCACAGGCAUCCAAAGACGCUGAUAAGAAGUUGAGAUUGGAGCAGCUCUUUCCAUUUCAAGACAACUCAUACUUGAUGUUCACUUGGGUGGAGAUUAAUAACGCCACAUCAUCAUUCUCAGAAUCAAACAAGAUUGGAACUGGAUCUAAUGGAACGGUAGACGAGGGCUAUCUCAAACACUUCGAUGUAGCAAUGAAGCAACCCCAUUCUAAUGACAGCACCAGUACCAAGCAUAUCAACCAAGAGAUCGAGGUUCUGAGCAGGAUACACCAUCCACACCUAUUGAUGCUCCUCGGAGCCUGCCCGGACAGUGGCUGCUUGGUGUACGAGUGCAGGGAGAACGGCAGCCUUGCGGAUCCUCUGCAAUGCAUAAAUGGCACACCAGCAAUCCCAUGGUUCCACCUCUUCUGCAUGGCCUAGGAAAUCGUGUCAGCCCUUAUGUUCCUUGACAGCACAAAGCUCAACCCGAUCAUCCACCGUGACCUGAUGCCUGAAAACGUGCUGCUCUUAACCUAGUCAGCAAAAUUUGUGAUGUUGGCCUGUCAACACUAGUCCCACUGCAGGAGUCUUUGUCAAGCCAUACGGUGUGCAAGAAGACCGGUCUAGCUAUUCUACCUAGACCCAGAGUACCAGUGAACUGGGCAGGUGUCCGUCAAGUCUGACACGUACUCCUUUGGCAUGGUGAUCCUGCGGCUGCUGACGGCGAGGCCACCGAUUGGGUUUACCUGAACUAGUGGAGGGAGCAGUGGAAGGUGUUGAACUUAAGUAUUUGCUGGAUGAAAGUGCAGGGAACUGGUCCUUGAAAGAAGCGUGUGAUCUAGCUUAGCUGGGCCUAAGGUGUCUGGAAAUGUGCGGCCUGACCUUAGAAGCAUGGCGGCGGUAGAGCUGGAAAGCUGAAGCAUAGGAGCGCAACGUGGUCGAGAUGUGGAUGUGUGAGAACAAUGUAUCGCCGACGAUGAAAUCACUGCUACUUAACAAGACGCUGGUGCCUAAUCGGUCGCUUCUGACCGUGAUCAUGAGCUGGAGGUCCCAGGCAGGCAUUUUAUUGAGGCUAAUGGUAAAUAGUUAGUCUAACCGCACGUAUCUUCAGGGUCAGGGGAGAAGGUCAAUCUAUGUGAUGUUAUGUUAUAGAAGAGGCAGUAGAGCUUUUUUCUGGUCUGUCUGCCUGUCUGUUUGUCUCACCUGCUGUAUGCAGUUUCCACAUAAAGUGAAGCAGUAUUUUUGCAACUAUAAUUACCAUAAUGUGUAAGCUUACUAUCACUCUAUCAGCAGUCGAUUGGCUAAUGUUUCCACGGGAAUUUUCUUUUUGACAAA